AUGAAAUCCUUGAACUUUUUGCUGGUGGUCCUGUGGCUUCAGUUUAACUGGGUGAGCAGCCAGCAGAAGGUGCAGCAGAACCCAGAAGCCCUCAGUGUCCCAGAGGGAGCCAUGGCCUCUCUCAACUGCACUUCCAGUGAUAGUGCUUCAUACAACUUCUGGUGGUACAGACAGCUUUCUGGGAAAGGCCUUGAGUUGCUGAUGUCCAUCGUCUCCAAUGGUGACAAGGAAGAAGGCAGAUUCACAGCUCACCUCAACAGAGCCAGCCUGCAUGCUGCCCUGCACAUCAGAGACUCCCAGCCCAGUGACUCUGCUGUCUACCUCUGUGCAGUGAGCACACGGUGCUCCCCAGGCACCUGCAGCCUGCACACAAACAUGCUGUGCUCAGCAAGGCCUGAGCUCGAGCAUGCUUGA